rnacentral:lncRNA from 1 species
GAAUGAGUAGGGACAACUUCCACUGAAUUGCCGAUCCAUUGAACAAGGUAUUGAUGCAUCGUAGACGGGAUACAACAAUUGGCAUGAAUCUAAUCUCGACCUAAGAGCAUGUUAUAUGACCCUUUACAUUUAAUGACAAAAAAUGUGGUGGGUAGGGUCUUACUUCCAAUCGUCAAGUCAACGCAGAGUGCCCCUUGAGCUGGUGAGAUUUUUUC